rnacentral:tRNA from 1 species
UCCCUCAUAGCUCAGUCGGUAAAGAAUCUGCCUGAAAUGCAGGAGACCUGGGUUAAAUUCCUGGAUUGGGAA